UUUCCUCCAGACAUUAUAUUUCUACAUUAGACCAGGCCUAUUAGGACCUCUCAAUCUUCCUGCCUCAGCCUACCAACUCUGGGGCUUACCUGAAUUUGCCACUUUUCUUGGCUCAAUUUUCUUACCUAAAAGUUCCUGAAAAGGCAGUUUUUUAG